GGAGGGGUGCAAGCGUUGUUCGGAAUUACUGGGCGUAAAAGCGCGUGUAGGGCGGCUUGGGUAGGUCGGGAUGUGAAAGCCCGAGGCUCAACCUCGGAAUUGCAUCCGAAACUGCCCUCGCUAGAGUCCCGGAGAGGAAGGCAGAAUUCCCAGUGUAGGGGUGAAAUCCGUAGAUAUUGGGAGGAAUACCAGUGGCGAAGGCGGCCUUCUGGACGGUGACUGACGCUCAGACGCGAAAGCGUGGGUAGCAAACAGGAUUAGAUACCCUGGUAGUCCACGCUGUAAACGUUGUGCACUAGGUGUCGGGGGUAUUCACCCCUCCGGUGCCGCCGCUAACGCAUUAAGUGCACCGCCUGGGGAGUACGGCCGCAAGGCUA
rnacentral:rRNA from 1 species